CCAUCCAAUCAAGCACAGCUACCCACACACACACAUGCACACACACACACACAUGCAACGAAAAAAAAAUUCAUUCCUGUAGUCAUCACCGCACGCGCGCACCUCCUCCCUCCCUCCUUCCCUCCCUCCCCGAGUACACGUCGCUGUCUGCCUCCAUUUUCUUUCACACAGCUCAGGAUCCUGUACUGGUCUCAUCUUCACCAGUCCCCAGCAGACCGCUCGCUGAUCGCGUGCACUGCUGCUGUCCUGCUCGCUGCCGUUGUCUCCACCUCGUGCAGCGUGUCUACCUUGUUCGGACACCUUCUCUCGUCGGUGUGUUCUCGCGUGUUGAUCCAACGCUUGGUGCGUGCACGUGAGUGUGUGUACACAAUCACCGUUCUUCGAUGGGUGCACUGCUCGUGACACUGCUGCAGUGCCGCAACAACCAGUCUCUCUACCCGAACCUCAGCGCUACACAGCACAACCAGUAUGUUUCGUGUCGGCAGCCGUGCUCGGUGCCGCUGCUGCCCGAUGCGCGCGCCUACGGCCGGCAAUCACACCAGCAUAGCUCGCUCAUGACCUCGACCACCGCCACGGUGCCGACGGACGCGGUGGGCGAUGAGGCCACUUCUGGGCCACCGGUGGCGAGGCGCGUGCAGCCCACUAACGCAGGCACCCCGUCCUCAACAUCCUUCGCUGGUGUUGUGAGUGAUAUGCGAGGAGCUGAAAAGCAACUCUUCAACCUUUCCAAGGUCUGCGAGGAGGGAGGCGUCACGGGUGUCACCACGGCUGAUGCCGACGGCGAUGCGGCAGCCGCGAUCUCGCGUCUGCUCCUUGCACGCCUGCUUGCCACCAAGUCAACGCCGACGCCGCCCUCGACCGAUUCGUUGCAUCCGCAGCUGCAGAACCGUGCGGCACAGAAGCCGGCAGUGGACAACGCUCUCUGCACCAACACCCUCCCCACAGUCCCACCGCUGUCAUCGGCAUGGAUGGCGAGCUCCCCCUCGGCCACACCGCCGACGCAGCCUCAAAACUGCCCCUCCCUGCCCUCCACAACGGUUUUCAUGCCCAGUGCCACGGCCGCCGCCCCUCUGGCACCGACCGCUCCGUCGAAGGGGCAGUGCAGCAACGGCACGGAGUCGCCCCUCGCCAUGCUGUUGCCGGUGGCCUCGAUGCCGACGCUCGCAGCGGCCGGUGGGCUGACGCUCACAUCGCAGGAUGCGCCUGUUGCGAAGGACGGCGACACCGUGAAGAGGAUGGCCUUGCCAGGUGACAACGCUGCCGCCGCGAGGCCGGACGAAGCGAACGACGCAGGCUGCAGCGUCGACAUCGAUGACGACGAGCUUGGCCCGAUGGACUGUGCAGACGCCUUCCAAUACUUCUUCGACGAGGACGAAGGGGCAUACCGGGACGUAGAGAGCGCCGUCUACGCGGCGCCGCAGAUGGCGCAUGUGCCAAUGCCCGUGUUGCGCGACCACUACCUAAACCUGCGUACGGCUCUGUACACGGAGAAGUCGUCAGCGGCGCUGACCGCACCGUCGGUGCCACCGCUUCUAGGUGGCAGCGUCGCGCCCACCAUCCCGAGCAUCUUUCUGCUAGGCGCCUCCGCGAACGUCCGCGGCGGGGGCGUGGCGAUGAAGAUGGCCGCGUGGUCACCGACGCAGCCGCCACCGCAACAGCAAGCCUUGAAAGCACUCUGUUGCCCUCAACAAACUCCGCUGAGCCUCCAUGAUGCGCUGCGCGCGAGCAUAACACGCGCGCUGCUGGAGACGGGAGAAGGCCUCGACGGCGAUGCGCACGACGCCGCGGCGGCGGCGGAUACCCCGUCAGGGCUGCAGCCCGGUGCCGGGCGCUUCGUUUCACUGGUGGAGGAGAUGGCGGCCGCGUGCCGCCGCAUCAGCGCCGCGCCGUACGUCUGCUGGCGCAGCGUUGAUCGCGUGACGGCGCUGCCGCCGGAAAACCCGCUGUGGCGGCGGCUCCACAACGGCGGCGGCAGCCGGGUGGACAACGCGCGCGGCGAGGCCGAGGACGACACGUCGUGCCCGCCAGUGAGCGAUGCGCCGCGCAAGCGCCGCUCACACCCCUCCGCUCUCCCAGACGGUGAUGGCGGCAGCGGCACCGAAGCUCAUCCACCCUCGUCGCAGCAGCAGUCCGAGUCGCUGUCGCUCUACUACCUUGGCCCGCAACAGUACAUGACCGCGGCUGUAUGGUGGUCGCGCGUGGAGGCGUUCGGCUUCGGUCUUCGCAGCACGGGCCUGCGCCCUGGUGACCUGAUCGGCAUCGUGGAAGACACGCGAUGGGAGUGGCUCGUCACGUGCUACGCGGCUUGGAGCGUUGGGCUCGUUGUCGUCGUCUUCGACAGCUCGGCGCGGACCAUGGCACGGGUCGCCAUGGACACCGCCCCCGAUAUGAAGGCAGUCGUGUGUAGCCCCACUGUGCAUCGCGAUUUGCGCCGGCACUACGACGCCGCCGCAGCAGCGGCUCGAAGCGCUCGCGCGCCAGCCCCCGUCACACCCACGACAGCAUACGAUAUGACGGACUGCCACGGCGGUGAGGAGGGCAACGACCAACGCCCGCAUAGCGCAUGCGCGAGCGGUGAGGCAGCGGCCGCGACACGGACGGGCCAACGUGGCAAGCACGACAGUGCCGAGGCGACCGCGACGUCCGAGCGCGCUGCAGCGAAGCCGCGAACGAAACAGCCUGCACCCUCACCCAUGUUUAUCGUCAUCCGCUCCGCCGGGCCUCCGCGCGGAGGCCGCAGCGACGGCGGUGACGGCCACGCGUCAGCCGCCGCGGCACCGCGGUCUUGGUGGUCGCGCACGAGCAUGCGCGAGCGGCAACCGUCGCACCAGGCGCACGACGUGACGGCGGAGGGGCACGAUGAAGUCGUGGACGAAGAAGGUGAGGACGAAGAAGAGGAGGCACUCUGGUGGAGCGACGUGCUCAUGCAUGGCGAGACGAAACUCAAGGCGUGGCGUCAGCGCAAGUUGCGAGAGCGACGGCUGCAGCAUCAGCAGCAGGCCCGUCUACGCCACCUGAAGCCGCAGCAGCGCGGCGCACGCGCCGCCGGCGCCAGCGUUGGUGGGAAUGCGGUCGCGUCCUCGCCGCCGUCCAGCGCCUCCCUCCGUCGUCCUCGUUUAUGUGGCGGGAUCGGCACGGAUGACCUGCGCGGCGCCGCGUUCGCGGCGGCAGCCUCGCAGGACGGGAGUGCCGCGUCCGUGGCCACCAGCGCCUGGCCCGGCCCCACCGAGGCCGUCAGUGACAGCGGUACAGCAACAGCGUGCGCGACGUCCUGCGCGGCGAACACGACGCCCACUAUGCUGGUCGGUGUCGCCGCCGCCACGAGGGAUGGCAAGAGCGGCGGCAGCGCAAGGUUCGCCGCCAACGAUGCAGCAAGGCGCGCGUCGGUGCCGCUGCGUGAAAGGAAUGCACUAACAGCGUCGCCUCUGCGUGGGAGCGGCGUUCGCUCUCCAGGCGCGCUGCCAGCGGCAUCGGCUCUGGCAGGCAGCGCCCCAACGAUCGCCGCGCCGCUGAUGAUGAUCGAUGACGGCCUGCCGCAGCUGCCACUGGCACCUCUCCAGCCAGACGACCUCGCCUUUAUCCUCUACACGGAAGGCGAUCCCAAAGGCGUCCUCCUCACGCAUGGCGCCGUCAAGGCAUCCGUGGCUGCGUACCACGAAUACCUUAACUCAACCGACGUCGACGGCGACGACGGGCUGCGUCGCGUGGCUGGAGGAGGCGACACGCUUACCAGCACUGCGAUCACCAGUAAAAACAGCUUCAGCACCGCAGAGAGCGCCGGACGCGGUGGGCAGGGCAGCAGUCGCAUAGCCCGCUACACGACGGCCUGCAUGCCCGCGCUGCGCUCCCGUACAGCGCCAGUGGGGCGGCCGUCGUACAUGGCGUACCUCCCUCUGCACGACGUCUGCGAGUUUGUGGCGGAGACAGCAUCGCUCCUGCGUGGCCUCCUCGUGUGCUACGGCACGCGCCGCACCCUCUUCGACACGUGGGCACGUCCGCACGGCGACCUCACCGAGUACAAGCCCACCAUCUUUCCCGCUCUGCCGGCGACACUGGCGCGCCUGCGCCGCACCGUUGAGUCGAUGGUGUCCACGGGGUAUCGCCAGCUGCUGUUUGAAGCCGCCUACGAGGCGCGGCGGCAGGCGAUGCGGCGCGGGUUGCAAACACCGUUCCUGCUCUCCACCAUCUUCGCUCCCUCGCGCAAGCUGCUCGGUGGCCGCUGCCGGCUCGUGCUCAUCCGUGGCGGGCCUGGCGCCGCCGCACUGCACCCACGGGACCAAGAGUACGUCGAGGUCGUGUGCGGGGCGUCCCUCGUCCAGUCGUACGGUGUCGCGGAGGCUGCUGGCUGCGGACUGCAACAGGCGUACUGCGCGACGCAGCUCGACUCGAUUGGCGGCCCGCUGGGGCCGGUGCACGUCAAGAUGCGCGACGUCUUCGCCACCGGCGCCGCCUUUGUUGGGAGCGCCGCCACCGCAGCGGCAGCCUCGAGCGGUGGAUGCAGCCCUGUUUGGAGCGGCUGGACCCAUCAGUCAGAGCGGCCAACGGGUGAGCUGCUGCUGCGCGGCCCCACCGUCAUGGCCGGAUACUACCGGCAACCGGAGAGGACGGCGGCGGUGCUGGAGAAGAGCGGCUGGCUGCACACCGAGGAAGUCGUAGAGCGCUGCCCGGAUGGCUCUUUCCGUCGCAUCGCCUCCCUGCGCCCGCACCACGCCACGACGAGCAACGGUCACUGCAUCGCCCUCGAGCCACUCGAGGCGCUCUACGCGCAGCACCCGCUCUGCCUGGAGGGCGGGGUCUGCGUGCUGGUGCAUCCGUAUCGGCGGUACGUCUGCGCCCUCGUCCUUACUGAUGAGCGCCGCCUGCGCGACUUUCUUCAGACAACCGCCGCGGCUGCGGCGGCACUGCCGUCGCCGCACUCUCAACCGAGUUCGCCCACCUCGCCGCUGCCGUCGUCGCCCUCACCGCAACGGCUGCUGAACUGGGCUGCGUUCGCCGGUGAGGGCUGGCCACAGUGCCUGGGCGAUCCGGCGCUGAACCAGGCCGCUGCCGCCUCGCUCGCGGCGUGGGCGACGCAGCACGGCGAGGCCGCCCCGCACGAGCGCGUGCGGCACGUCCGCGUCCUGUACGACGUGUGGGACGUGGCUCAUCACACACGCACCGCGACGGGGCGGUUGUUCCGUCCUGCGAUCCACUAUCGCUACAGAGGCGUCAUCCAGGAGCUCUUCGCGGACGAGGACUGACGGGCAGCCCCGCACGGCGGGAGAGCGGUUGGGGGCGACUGCAUAGCAUGUGUGCGGUUCCCGCCCUCACGCACACAGCGCUGCUGCUGCUGCUGUUGUUGCCCUGUCCCACCCACCCACCCCCCUCACCCAUCCAUGUCUGCGUGUCCUUUCCAUAUGUUGCUCAUGUGUUGUGAGGCCCUCUCUUCGGCCCUCUACCCGCGCGCCAGACAGCGGAGCUUGCCAAGUGCAUGCGCAGCGGGCAGGGUGUUGUGUCGAUAUACACCUUAUCUACAACGUUGUUGUGACGGGCACACGAACCAUCACGCCGCGCGAGAAGCACACGAGAGCGAUGCAGCGUCCCUUUCCCUGGACGUGUGCAAGGCGCAUGGACAGCGUAGCGCACACGGAUGGAGGUGAACGCAUCACCACCACGCUCGCCGCUGCGUGUAUCCGUGCGGCGCCUAUCGAGCGUGUGCGUAUGUGCGUUGCCGUCUGACGCGAAACUCGUCAGCAGUGCGCAACGGCGACACCUUUCUCUCCCCUCCCUCACGCCCACGGUACAGCACCUGAGCGCUCUCUCUCCCUCUCUGACUCGUCGCCGUUCUGCCCCUCCUCCCCACGCCUCUACCGGCGCAUCGAUGCGCACGUGCGCGUCUUCGCGGAUGUACGUCUUUUAUGUCUGUUAACCGCCCUACACACCCACCCACAUACAUACACACUCGCACGCAAUCUUCUCCCUCGCCGUCUACGCUGCAUCGCAUGUGAUGGCCAUACGAACCACGCCGCCGACACAUCCCCACAUCAUCGUGCUGCUCACCGAAG
rnacentral:misc_RNA from 1 species